rnacentral:lncRNA from 1 species
CGCGCACCCAAGGCAAAGAACUUUGUGAGAUGCUUCGCUCAACAUUUCUUAUCUUAGCAGGAUAGUCAUCCACAAAGAGGGACAUGUCGCUGAACUGGUUAAAAUCCUCCAGAUCCGCUACACCAUCAACUCCUAUUGCUUGUUGCUUUCCUGGAAAAACUACAUGCUUCAGCUUGUUAGUAGUUUUCUUCUCAUUCUUAGAAAGGAUCUGUUCAGCAUAGAACACCUGUGCAGCACGGUUACCCAGGAUCCAUGGGUCAUCUUUGUAUCCCACUUUACUUAGAUCAAGAACUCUGACCCCAUAAUUAUCCACUGUGACAUGUUUAUCUUCUACCCAUUGACAUCGAAACAUGGGGAUCUGAAAUAUACCAUAGUCUAGUUC